rnacentral:rRNA from 1 species
CAGUCGCCACUGUAACACGGAGGGAGCUAGCGUUGUUCGGAAUUACUGGGCGUAAAGCGCGCGUAGGCGGUUACUCAAGUCAGAGGUGAAAGCCCGGGGCUCAACCCCGGAACUGCCUUUGAAACUAGGUGACUAGAAUCUUGGAGAGGUCAGUGGAAUUCCGAGUGUAGAGGUGAAAUUCGUAGAUAUUCGGAAGAACACCAGUGGCGAAGGCGACUGACUGGACAAGUAUUGACGCUGAGGUGCGAAAGCGUGGGGAGCAAACAGGAUUAGAUACCCGGGUAGUCCCUGUCUCUUAUAC